rnacentral:rRNA from 1 species
UACGUAGGGUGCGAGCGUUGUCCGGAAUUAUUGGGCGUAAAGAGCUUGUAGGCGGCUCGAUAAGUCUGCUGUGAAAGUCCAGGGCUCAACCCUGGAAGGCCGGUGGAAACUGUCGGGCUAGAGUCCGGAAGAGGCGAGUGGAAUUCCCGGUGUAGCGGUGAAAUGCGCAGAUAUCGGGAGGAACACCAGUAGCGAAGGCGGCUCGCUGGGCCGUCCUGACGCUGAGACGCGAAGCUAGGGGAGCGAACAGG